rnacentral:rRNA from 1 species
UUUUAAAAAUCCAUAUUUAACAAGCCCGAUAUCAUCUGAUUUUGGAAGCUAAGCAGGGUCAGGCCUGGUUAGUACUUGGAUGGGAGACUACCUAGGAAGCCCAGGAACUCUAGGCA